rnacentral:rRNA from 1 species
UACGAAGGGGGCUAGCGUUGUUCGGAAUUACUGGGCGUAAAGCGUGCGUAGGCGGUUUGUUAAGUCCGCUGUGAAAGCCCUGGGCUCAACCUGGGAAUUGCAGUGGAUACUGGCAAGCUAGAGUGCGGUAGAGGAUGGUGGAAUUCCCGGUGUAGCGGUGAAAUGCGUAGAGAUCGGGAGGAACACCCGUGGCGAAGGCGGCCAUCUGGACCAGCACUGACGCUGAGGCGCGAAAGCUAGGGGAGCAAACAGG